GAGGAGUUCACCAGACCCUCUGAGGGAGGUGACUCUGGCUGGUCAGUAGUGCUGCCUGCUCCCCCAGGUCAGGGGUCUCCUCCAGCUGGAGGAGAAAGGCUAAAUGACUGUCCGAGGUCAGGGAGUGACCCAUGGAUGAGGCGACAAGAGGAGCCCUGCACCGACCACUGCCUGGGGCACUGACGACUAAAUCACCCCAAGGAGCCGAGUGUGAUUUCAUUUCUAGUCCAUCUACAGGAGGGGGAAAUCAAUGCUUGCUAAAUGAAAAGGAAAAAGAUUGGCAGGAGGAAAAUAUAUUUCCAACUUUUAAUAGUGCGUUAUCGACAAUGACCAUCAGAGGUAAAGAGGGAGGGCCCACCUGGCUGAGUGGCUUGGCUUGACAGACUCACGUGGCCCUCUCUCUGGGCAGUCUUUUCAGGAGGCUGAAUGAGGUGCCCAACCUGAACCCCAUGGUGGGGAGCUGGCAGGGAGCUGCUGCCCAACCCCUGCAUCUUCAGCCCAAGGCCAGGUGACCAUGCUCCUCCACGAUGCCCCCCCCCCGCUGGCUCCAAUGGGGCAAAGGACCCCCAGAGCAGCCCCCCCACCGAGAGAGCCCAGAGAGGGCUGGGAGCCCCAGGACCAGGUUGCCAUGGAAUCACGAGGGUCUACUAUCCACCGGGGACCCAAGCCAGGUGUCAGCAAAUUCCAGCAGUUCACAUGUCCUGUGACAAAAAUGGCCCUGGCCCAAGAAAGGAGCCCUCGAAUUUCCUAGUAUGAAAUUUCAAAAAGCAAAGCUGUCCCAGAAUCCAGAUAGGUUUAUCCUCGAGGAGAGGGGCUGCGGGGCUUGCUGACCGUGGGGCUCCCAGGUCGGUCCCCGCCGGGAUCACCCCUGGCCUGCCCCAUUCUGGCCGCCACAAAGCCAACCCAGUCCUCCUCACCCAAGGCCAGCGUCAGCUCUGGAGCCCGCCCACUGUGGUCACCCCCUGGUGGGAAGUGGCUCACAGGGGAGGGGGACCUCUGUCACCUGGGGUCUGGCAGCUGGCUUGCCUUUCCUAGGAUUGCUUGGGCAGCACUGGGCAGCCCUGGGCAGGCAGGCAACCUUUCCAUCUGGCCACCUUGGCCAGGACGUAGGAUUCCCACUGACCUGCAGAAGGGACCCCUUGGUGGCUCCCCACCCAGCAGAGGGGAGGGGCGGCUGGUGGCUUCCUCCCGGCAGGGUGAGGAAGGGCUCCGUGUCAUUAAUCCCCUGGGGUGAGUCCCCCAGCUCCCGCUGAGCUGGCCCCUGCUCCAGCAGCCAGGGCCUCGAUCCCAGGUGCAUGACUGUCACCAAGAUAAAAGAGACAUAAUUAAAUUCCAAUCAACUGGGUGAUUUGUUAUCAUAAUGUAAUAUUUCCCUCCAGCCCCUUAAUCCCACAGAUCUGCCUCCGCCAGGGCUGCGGGUGGGGGUCCCUGCCACUCUAGGCCCAGCUGCUGGAGCCCCUGCCCCCACACACUCGCCCUCCCCCAACGCCAAGCCCUGAAGGUGAUAAUGAAGUCAUUUUUCUGAGGAAUGCUCACCUGGAAGACAGCUUGUCCUCCGGCCAGCCAGCUAAUCGGCUCAUCGAGCUGGGGAGGCAGGCCCAGGGGCAGUGGGGUGAGCAGGGCGGGCCCUGCUGCGUGCUGAGCUGGGAGCCUGCUGCCCGUGGGGGGGACCGUGUGGAGCCUCCAGCCGAGACCCUGCCCGUUAGCCAGUGUGCACAGGGAGGGGAACAGGGGACCUGGUGCCAGGGUCCCAGGAGAGAUGCAUCUACUCUGUCGCAGCACGGCUAAGGCAGAGGGCAGAGCCUGGGCUCACGCGGAGCCACUGUGCCACCUUCCUGGGGCCUCAGCUCCCUGUCUUUGAGGUGAGCCUCCUAACACUGGGCCACUUGAGGAGGGGAGCCCUGAGCCAGGAGGCAGAGGCCGUCUCCCUGCCUCCCUGGGGCCUGUGUUAGAGAGGCCGAGGGGCCACCCCGAGGGGGGCAGGGCUCCUGGGGAGGAGGUCACUUUGUUUACACCUCUGGCCCUUUCUGUGGCUUCCACGUUUUCUAGAUACGGGUCUGUCGACCGUCACGGGGUGGGAGGCCUGAGCUCUGGGUGGCUGGGCAGGCUGAGGACCCAGGCAGCUGGGAGCUCGUCCUGGGCAGGCCUGCGGCCACAGGGUGCAGGGCACAGGGGUGUCAGUGGCAGCAGGACCCCUAGACAGCAGCUCCCAUACCUGUCCUGGGCCUGCACAGCUCCGGUGUGGGCUGGUCACCUCUGAGACCCCAUCUUCAGGGAUGCAGCUUUCCCUCCAAGCUGCAGGGCCAAGGAAGUCACCUGCUGGCCCUUCCUCCUACCUGAUUCUCCCAACACCAGGGGACAGGGAGACGGAAACAAGGCCAGAGAGGGUGCCCCAGCCACACGGCUCUGAGCGCCAGAGCUGGUUUGACUGCAGCGGAAGGACCCCAGAGCUGGGCUCUCGACCUCCCCAAAGGCUGCACCUGUCUGAUGGAGGCCCGCACAAGCUUCGCUGCUGGGAAAAGUGAUGGACGCACAUUGGGGACAGGAAAUGGACACUGUGUCCAAGACACACCAUUGAGGAAAUAAUGGAAAACAACCCACAUUUUGACUCAGGGGAUUAUGAUGCAAUUCCUCAAUAAACAUAAAAAUUCUCAACAAUAAAUAGAAGGAACAAAAUUAAAA
ensembl:lincRNA